GGGGACAACAUUUGGAAACGAAUGCUAAUACCGCAUAAGACCACAGUGUCGCAUGGCACAGGGGUCAAAGGAUUUAUCCGCUGAAAGAUGGGCUCGCGUCCGAUUAGCUAGAUGGUGAGGUAACGGCCCACCAUGGCGACGAUCGGUAGCCGGACUGAGAGGUUGAACGGCCACAUUGGGACUGAGACACGGCCCAGACUCCUACGGGAGGCAGCAUG
rnacentral:rRNA from 1 species